rnacentral:lncRNA from 1 species
UGUAUCACAAGAAUGGUGUGUAUCACCAUAACUACAUCAUGCUCUGCUAUUGUGAUAUUGUAACUGUCAGCUUUUACACAGAACCCUUUUUGUUGUGUGUUGCUCCCAGUCAGUAAUUAUCGGUGCCAAUAAAUAAAUAAAUAAAUAAAUAUUAUAUUAGUGAAGCAGAACACAUAUCAGAAUUUGUUGGGGUUUUGUUUGUUUGUUUGUUAGUUUUUCUACUGAUGAAAUGUUAUAGCAGGAACCAAUCUAAUACUUAUGCAGAGCAACAACUAUUUUUAGUAAAGCAGUUUUCACUAGAUAUAAUUUGUGUAUGCUGAAUACAAUAUGUGAACCAUUGCAAAUUUAACUCCUCUGGGGUAGGAAAUAAAGUUGAUGGUGUACGUGACUAAGGUGAUUUUCAAAUUUCAGAAUAUGAUAUAGGUUUUGAUCUGCUAUUGCAAGGUCCCCAGUUGUAAGAUACUCCAGCAUAGGCAAACAAACAUGGUAUUCAAGUAUCCUUUUAUAGCAAGAAUACCUAUAGAUAAACUGUGAUUCGAAUUAAUGUAAUUUCUUACUUUAACUUCUUUUCAUUAAGACAGAUUGGCCUCAAGUAUUUGGAGGACAUGUCCCAGCUAAGCACACCUACUUUCAUUUUGCACCGUGUCAAUGCAUCUCUCGAAGUAAGGUAAGUAAGAACUGCUUAUUCAUGCUUCUUCCCCACCAGUACCUGAGAGUGUGGUACUCACUGUUGUGACAAAUUUCCUUCUCUCAACUAGAAGAGCUAUGUAUGAAACAUAUGCUCUUUUGGCUGGCCAUAUAUUGUGAGAAAGUUGUUUGGCAAACUCAUCUUUUGAUUUUUUACCAAUUGUGAUAAAACAUAUAAGGAAAAGUUUUUGAAAGAUGGCAUGAAAAGAGCUACUAACCUUAAUGUGUGAGACUGAGUUUUCUGUUGCUUCUUCAUGCCUUUAUUCUUUCUUUUCUACUCCAUUAUUUCUUCCUUUGUCUCUCCUCUCAGUCUCAUUUUCUUACUUCAAUCUUUUUUCUUUUUUUUUUUUCUCCUGGCUGGUCUCCAUAGAAAAUACUGCAGUAUUUAUUUAUUUUUUUCAUAUUAUUCUUGCCAAUACAGCAGUAUCCUUGACAAAGAGAAAAAAUAAGCUGCUGCUCUGGAGGUGGCUAGAAAACUGGCGUAAUACCAGUGAACAUAAUCCAAGCCUGGCAUGGGACAGACAAGGCAAUCUAAAAACUUUUCCUUACCUCUAAAAUCAAGCUUUUUGUGGAACCAGUAAGGAAAAGGGGCAGAUUACAAAACACUAAAAUCUGUCAUGACUUUUUAAUUUAUCUGUGAAGGGCUUAAAGUGCUCCAGAGAGACUGUCCUUAAGCAGGGGUUUUGCUCUCAGUGUUCAAUUUGCAUUUCAUCUUGUAUUAAACUAAAUAAUAAUAAGAUAACUACUUAAACUACUUCACCUCAACCCUUUGCUUUUGUUAAGCAGAUGAGAAUACCAUGCUAGGGACAGAGGCCAUCACUCUUAAACAGGCAGAUUUAGACAAACAGAUUUAGAAAAAAAUAGACAAAUUCAAUCUGGAAACGAGCAGAGUAAGUCCUAGACCAGCACUACAGUGCAGUGGACAUGGUUUCCAGCAAUCAUAUAAAGUGGAGAAGUCGAAGAUUAAGGCAGAUCCCAGAGAAGUUAAUAACCUAGGUAUAUGCAUAAAUUUCCUUUCCUUCCUUGCUUGUCUCUUGUCAAGCUUAGCUGCCUGCACCAAGCAUGGGCUUCAAGACCCGUGUAGAGGUGUCUGAGGGGUUUUGUCUUGCCUGUGUUUUGUGGAUCUGUGAUUUUUCUAGCCUUUGAGGAAAAGUACCUAAGCAUGUUUGGAUACAUUUGUUUAAUGAUUUCAAUUCUUGUUUUCAUUAUUUUGAAACACACACUUCUGAAAGACUGUAGAGAUAUCCUGUAUUCAAUAGAAAACAAAAUAUCCUCUUUAUUCCAAGGCCAUACUGUGUCAAUCCCUGGGGAGACAUCAAGCUCAUUUAUUAGCACAGGAGCCAGAUAAAUACAUGAUAGAAGCCACCACUGACACUGACACAAUAAACACUGUGGUGAAGGUUCA